UGGGGAAUUUUGGACAAUGGGCGAAAGCCUGAUCCAGCAGUGCCGCGUGUGUGAAGAAGGCCUUCGGGUUGUAAAGCACUUUUGUCCGGAAAGAAAUCCUUGGCUCUAAUACAGUCGGGGGAUGACGGUACCGGAAGAAUAAGCACCGGCUAACUACGUGCCAGCAGCCGCGGUAAUACGUAGGGUGCAAGCGUUAAUCGGAAUUACUGGGCGUAAAGCGUGCGCAGGCGGUUUGCUAAGACCGAUGUGAAAUCCCCGGGCUCAACCUGGGAACUGCAUUGGUGACUGGCAGGCUAGAGUAUGGCAGAGGGGGGUAGAAUUCCACGUGUAGCAGUGAAAUGCGUAGAGAUGUGGAGGAAUACCGAUGGCGAAGGCAGCCCCCUGGGCCAAUACUGACGCUCAUGCACGAAAGCGUGGGGAGCAAACAGGAUUAGAUACCCUGGUAGUCCACGCCCUAAACGAUGUCAACUAGUUGUUGGGGAUUCAUUUCCUUAGUAACGUAGCUAACGCGUGAAGUUGACCGCCUGGGGAGUACGGUCGCAAGAUUAAAACUCAAAGGAAUUGACGGGGUCAUA
rnacentral:rRNA from 1 species